AGGACGACGCUGGCGGCGUGCCUAAUACAUGCAAGUCGAACGGUCUUUCUAUGGAAGCUUGCUUCCACUGAAAAGAUAGUGGCGAACGGGUGAGUAACACGUGGGUAACCUGCCCAUAAGAGGGGGGAUAACAUCCGGAAACGGGUGCUAAUACCGCAUAGUUUUCUUGAUCGCAUGAUCGGGAAAGGAAAGACGGCCUUUGUGCUGUCGCUUAUGGAUGGACCCGCGGCGUAUUAGUUAGUUGGUGAGGUAACGGCUCACCAAGACGAUGAUACGUAGCCGACCUGAGAGGGUGAUCGGCCACAUUGGGACUGAGACACGGCCCAAACUCCUACGGGAGGCAGCAGUAGGGAAUCUUCCGCAAUGGACGAAAGUCUGACGGAGCAACGCCGCGUGAGUGAAAGAAGGUUUUCGGAUCGUAAAACUCUGUUGUCAGAGAAGAACAAGUUGGAGAGUAACUGCUCCAGCCUUGACGGUAUCUGACCAGAAAGCCACGGCUAACUACGUGCCAGCCGCCGC
rnacentral:rRNA from 1 species